CGUCGUGAGACAGUUCGGUCCCUAUCCGGCGCGGGCGCAGGAUAUUUGAAGGGGGCUGUCCCUAGUACGAGAGGACCGGGAUGGACGGGCCGCUGGUGCACCUGCUGUCAUGCCAAUGGCACAACAGGGUAGCCAAGCCCGGAAGGGAUAAACGCUGAAGGCAUCUAAGCGUGAAGCCCGCCUUAAGAUGAGAUAUCCCCUGCGAAGCAGGUAAGACCCCUUGGAGAACACGAGGUAGAUAGGACAGAGGUGGAAGCACAGUAAUGUGUGGAGCUGACUGCCACUAAUAGGUCGAGGGUCUGACC
rnacentral:rRNA from 1 species